rnacentral:tRNA from 1 species
GAGCCGAUAGCUCAGCUGGUAGAGCACUGCCCUUUUAAGGCAGGUGUCCUGGGUUCGACUCCCAGUCGGCUCAC